AAAAAAAAAUCCAUUUCAAUGCAGUUAUUUUAAGUAAAAAUAUUGCUUCAAGAAUUAGACCCUCAAUGCUCAAUUAUCCUUUAUAUAAAGAGUUGUAUGCCACUGAUUUCUUCAUAAGUGUCUUUUUAAAAUAAUCUUGAAUAAGUUCUGAGACAUGUAUAUACACAUCAAAUCCUUUAUGAGGUAAAAUAAAAUAACAUGGUGAUGAACAAGUGAGAGUGAGUACCCAGUACCCUGCGGUACCCAGUGCCCUUUUCAUUUCAGAUGAAACUGUAGAAAAUACUUUCUGGGGUUUUUUCUGUGUGGCGGUCAUUCUCUAGUGAAAUUGUCUGUGGCAGGUUUUGGUCGGUGGUGUUGAUUUAGCCUGUAUCUGUUGGAGUAUACUUUUUACCAUUUUGACAAGAGAGAAGUGACAAGUGGUUACCCCACGUGGCGUGGGUGUGCUGAGAUGGGAUGGCGGGCAGCCCUGCCGGCACGGAUCGCCCGCUUGCUGAGCUCUUGCCAUACCUGGUGUCCUGGGGCAGUGCAGAGCUGCCUGAAGUAUAUGCCAUCUGGCCCUGCAUCAGCUACUGUUGGUAUCGUGGAGGAGACAAAGUCCUCAAGUCUAACGGGAGACCUGGAGUGCUGCUCGUACAGUGCCAGGAGGAGAGCUGAGGAAGGGGGCCCUGAGGACAGUAGCACUCUGAGGAGGAGGUGGUGGGGAAAAAAGAGGCCAUGAAAGGAGAGGGUGGGAGUACAGAUGGAGAAAAUGGCGAGAAAGGAGGAAGGAAAGUUCAGGAAAUGUGCAGGGAGUGAAGCCAGGCGGGCCAGGGCAUUGCUGGGGAGGGACGAGGUCCCUGCGGAAACCAGCUGGGAAGGAGGCUGAGGUGGAUUUGUGGAGGGUCUGAAAUUCAUGGUGAUGUUCCUGCACUGCCAAAGGGGAAUCAGCCUUUUUUUCUCCUUUGAGAGAACAGAUGAGGGUUGAAAUUAGAACUGUGUUUUUAAACUAUAUUUUAGCAACCUUUAAAAUAUAUGUAUAUAUAUAUUAAGUAGAGUCAUAGUGCAUAAUAUAACAACAAAAUCGGAGCCUUAACUCUCACCUUCUUCUGGGCCUCAGGAACCCCGAGCUCAUGGGAAAAGUCUUGAGGAUCUCCCCAUCAGGAAGGUCACGGAGGGACUGCAGGAGCAGGGAGUUGCUAGAAGGAAGAGACCUGCCAGGCAGCUAUUGUACAUGGAGGGGAUGGGACCCAGUGCAGGGAACAGAAAGGAAGUAGGUGUGAGAAACGUUGCCACUCUCACCUGGACCAAGUGCGAUAGCUGAUUGGCUGCAGGAGAGCUGGGGGCGGGUAUUCGGUAUGAGAUCCACAGGCUGCUGGGAAUGCAAAGAGCCAGGAAGACAGGAAGAAAAGUUGAUGGGAGGAGGAGGAGACACCAGAGGGGUCGGCUCGGGUUUCAGGUGUUCGGGGCCACCUCAUAUGAGAUGCUUGAAAUAAUUGGACUGUGACUCAGGCGACGGGUCAGCCUGCUGACAGAUUUGGGAGGCUGCUGCGUGGAAGGGGAAUUUGAAACGUGGGCUGGAUCAGCACGGAGGAUUGGGCAGGGAGAAGGCCAAGGCUCAAGUGGAGAAACAGCCAUCAAGUUUAAAGUAGGAAGGAGGGAAGAGCCAGCAAAGGGGGUGGUGAGCGGUGAUAGGAAGACAGCAAGCCAGGCACAGCGGUCAGGGACGUCAGUGAUGACCAAGAAGCGGCCUCCAGGAGAGGCGAAUGUUACAGGUGCCUUUCCCCGUGAGGUCUGGAAGAAAUACUGGCUUGUAACCUCGCAGGCCACUGUACCCCUUGAGUCUCAAUUUCUUUGAGUCAAAUUGGGGUCAUUUUCUGCCCUACCAGCCCCAUCUGCCCUUGUGUGACGAUCAAGUAAGAUAAGUGUAAAACCACCGGCCAUCUGCUCCAUUCCAGCUGUAAUAGGAACUAGACUGUGGACAGUGUUGAUGUGAGGCCUCCAGGGAAGAGGAUUAAAGUAUAUCGGAGCUCUUGUUCCUUUGUUCAGGCUUGACACAGUCUCCUUUGUCACCAGGUUUGUUAACCACAGGAGCACUGAGCUUCUCAGACAUCCCACACCUUUGUGGGAAAUACCUGUUGGGAAGUAUUUUUGACACACACUGUGUGCAUACAUUGGGAAGAGCUCUCUAGUGGCUAUUUUUUUUUAAUAGGCAUUUGACAAGAUUAUUGCCUUAAGGCGACAGUGAGAGCUAAUGCUUCUGUAGCUCCUAUUCUGUUCCAGAUACUGUUCUAAAUACAAGUAACGCAUUCGAUCCUCUCAGCCAACCCUAUGAGGUAGAUAUUGAGAAAAUUAGUGCUCAGAGAGGUUCAAUAACUUGCCCAAAGUCCUAGAGCUAGUGAGUGCCCAAGCCAGGUUGGAACCUAGAAUCCCGGCUCCAGAGCCAGUGCUCUGAACCACUGUGGAAGAAUACCAGGCGGGCUAUGACGGCAUGCAAGCCAGGCACACAGCCUGUGCUAAAACCGUCUGUGAAAGGAGAGAAGACUGCAUUGGUACAGUCAGAAGACUUGAUGGGAGAGGUGGAUGUCAGCCAGAUCCUAAUGGAUGGGUGUUGAUUAGUAAGCACUAUACUAUGCUCUCCAACCAAGCUAGAACCCUCAUCUUAUUCAGGAAGGCGAUGUCAUAACCACUCCAUCAAGCUGGGAUCAUUAUGAGGACAGUCAGUGGGCCAUACGAUUGGAGGAAAGCAUUCCGGGCAAUGUGAUGGGAAGAGCUAUGAGAGCCCAGGGAUGAAGUCAAGGUGACUGUGCCACCUGUUUGCCCAGUGUGGCCCCACCAUCCCGCCAUCCCAGUGUGACUACUAGAUAGUUCCCCCUUUUACUCUCAAGUGUCCCAGUUUGAAUGACAAAUCAUGAGUUUGAGGAAGUCUGCCAAACAUUGAAAUCAUUUGCAGAGUGUCACAGAUGUGUGCGUUGUUUCUGGGCAUAGGUCCCUUGUUCAGAACAUGCCCUAAGGGGGCCAUCCCCAUGGCGUAAGGAGUUUGGUUUUUGUUUUUUGUUUUUUUAAGGAAAAUGAGCCUAGCCUUUGUGUGCAGCACAGAAUCCAGUGGGGGAAGUGCAGCAGGUGUUGGUAGGAGGCUCCGGAGAUAAGGCCUGUACCAGGUGGGAGGGGAAGGCGGGCCCCCAAGACUGCAGAGGUAUUGGUGGUGAUGUUUAUCUGAAGCUGGGAGGUGGUUGCCUUAGUGUCCACUUUAUUAUACCUUCCAAAUACGACUCACAUGCUUAUUAUGCACUACUGUAUCGUAAAAGUAGAUGAAAAACCACCUGAAGAAGUAUGUACAUGGUCCAGAACACGGGCUCUGGAGUUCCUGUGUGACUUUGGACGAGUUGAUCACCUUAAACCUCUACUGCUCAUUUGUGAAGGAGAGAGAAUAGCAACACCUGUCCAAGGAUUUCGAGGAUUUGCAACAAUCCACGGUUCAACAAGGGUGCACAGAGACCCAAGAGUGUGGAAGAGGAAGCCAUAGAGUGAUGGAAUAAAUAACUGGUUUCCUUGAAAAUGAAUGGCAAAGUCAUCUGGUACAUUUUCCCUCCUUUUUUUAGCACUAAGUUCAUUGACCUGACUACUCAGAAAAAAUUAAAACAUGAUGAUAUCAA